rnacentral:snRNA from 1 species
GUGCUCACUUCGGCAGCACAUAUACUAAAAUUGAAAC